rnacentral:tRNA from 1 species
GGAGAGAUGGCUGAGUGGUUGAUAGCUCCGGUCUUGAAAACCGGUAUAGUUCUAGGAACUAUCGAGGGUUCGAAUCCCU